rnacentral:rRNA from 1 species
ACGCUGGCGGCAGGCCUAACACAUGCAAGUCGAGCGGUAGAGAGAAGCUUGCUUCUCUUGAGAGCGGCGGACGGGUGAGUAAUGCCUAGGAAUCUGCCUGGUAGUGGGGGAUAACGUUCGGAAACGGACGCUAAUACCGCAUACGUCCUACGGGAGAAAGCAGGGGACCUUCGGGCCUUGCGCUAUCAGAUGAGCCUAGGUCGGAUUAGCUAGUUGGUGGGGUAAUGGCUCACCAAGGCGACGAUCCGUAACUGGUCUGAGAGGAUGAUCAGUCACACUGGAACUGAGACACGGUCCAGACUCCUACGGGAGGCAGCAGUGGGGAAUAUUGGACAAUGGGCGAAAGCCUGAUCCAGCCAUGCCGCGUGUGUGAAGAAGGUCUUCGGAUUGUAAAGCACUUUAAGUUGGGAGGAAGGGCAGUAAAUUAAUACUUUGCUGUUUUGACGUUACCGACAGAAUAAGCACCGGCUAACUCUGUGCCAGCAGCCGCGGUAAUACAGAGGGUGCAAGCGUUAAUCGGAAUUACUGGGCGUAAAGCGCGCGUAGGUGGUUCGCUAAGUUGGAUGUGAAAUCCCCGGGCUCAACCUGGGAACUGCAUUCAAAACUGACGAGCUAGAGUAUGGUAGAGGGUGGUGGAAUUUCCUGUGUAGCGGUGAAAUGCGUAGAUAUAGGAAGGAACACCAGUGGCGAAGGCGACCACCUGGACUGAUACUGACACUGAGGUGCGAAAGCGUGGGGAGCAAAC